rnacentral:rRNA from 1 species
CCUACGGGAGGCAGCAGUGGGGAAUAUUGGACAAUGGGGGGAACCCUGAUCCAGCCAUGCCGCGUGUGUGAAGAAGGCCCUCGGGUUGUAAAGCACUUUCAGUGAGGAAGAACGCCUGGUGGUUAAUACCCAUCAGGAAAGACAUCACUCACAGAAGAAGCACCGGCUAACUCCGUGCCAGCAGCCGCGGUAAUACGGAGGGUGCGAGCGUUAAUCGGAAUUACUGGGCGUAAAGCGCGCGUAGGUGGCUUGAUAAGCCGGUUGUGAAAGCCCCGGGCUCAACCUGGGAACGGCAUCCGGAACUGUCAAGCUAGAGUGCAGGAGAGGAAGGUAGAAUUCCCGGUGUAGCGGGGAAAUGCGUAGAGAUCGGGAGGAAUACCAGUGGCGAAGGCGGCCUUCUGGACUGACACUGACACUGAGGUGCGAAAGCGUGGGUAGCAAACAGGAUUAGAUACCCUGGUAGUC